GUUUGUUUCCACUUCCCCUCUGUGUGUAAUGGCUGCCUGCUGCAAGAGUAUGGAGUAUGUGAGGGUCUGUCGGAGAGGCUGUUAAUACAUCUGCUCUCUACAACUCCAGAUGAAUCCGCCUCCACCAGUUUCUUAUAAAUCUGAUAAACGUUGCUGGGCUUAGACUGUGGUGUGAUCCGUGAUAUCAUCAGAGAUCCAAGAUGGUGGAAUUUAAUUGGAGGGUUUUGGAGAAUUUUCCACUGCUGAUGUACAUUUUGGCAGCUAAAACAUUAAUUCUUUGCUUGGCAUUUGCUGGAGUAAAAAUAUACCAGAGUAAAAAAAUUGAACAAAAAAUGAGAAAAGAACGUGAGGCAAAGCUGAAAAAGGAAGCAGAGAAGAAGGAAGACUGAAGAGGUGGCUCAGUCGGUGUGUGCUAACAGCAGGAGGGCAGUAUACUGUUAUAGCUCAUUAAUUUCCUGACAUUUCCUGCUCAUGUGGAUACCUUUCCCGGGAGGGUGAAGACUUCCCUUAGAUUGAACGAUGUGUCAAAGAAAUAAACCGUCCCCGAGCAGCAUUCACUUAAACUGCAUAUUGACUUUUUAAACAUGUAAUAAGAAUAUCCAUCCUCUCUUUAUUCAAUAAAGGUUCCUCAGUAGGA